UACGUAGGGUGCGAGCGUUGUCCGGAAUUAUUGGGCGUAAAGAGCUCGUAGGCGGUUUGUCGCGUCUGCUGUGAAAACCCGAGGCUCAACCUCGGGCCUGCAGUGGGUACGGGCAGACUAGAGUGCGGUAGGGGAGAUUGGAAUUCCUGGUGUAGCGGUGGAAUGCGCAGAUAUCAGGAGGAACACCAAUGGCGAAGGCAGAUCUCUGGGCCGUAACUGACGCUGAGGAGCGAAAGCAUGGGAGCGAACAGGAUUAGAAACCGUCGGUAGUCAGUCCAAGAUCCAUCUGUCACCGA
rnacentral:rRNA from 1 species